rnacentral:rRNA from 1 species
AUUGAACGCUGGCGGCAGGCCUAACACAUGCAAGUCGAACGAGUGGCGGACGGGUGAGUAAUGUCUGGGAAACUGCCUGAUGGAGGGGGAUAACUACUGGAAACGGUAGCUAAUACCGCAUACCAUCGGAUGUGCCCAGAUGGGAUGAGAUAGUUGGUGAGGUAAAGGCUUACCUAGGCGACGAGCCCUAGCUGGUGUGAGAGGAGGACCAGCCACACUGGAACUUAGACACGGUCCAGACUCCUACGUGAGGCAGCAGUGGGGAAUAUUGCACAAUGGGCGCAAGCCGGAUGCAGCCAUGCCGCGUGUAUGAAGAAGGCCUUCGGGUUGUAAAGUACUUUCAGUGGGGAGGCGUUACCCGCAGAAGAAGCACCGGCUAACUCCGUGCCAGCAGCCGCGGUAAUAC